CUUUCUGGCCUGUGCAGAGCUCAGAGACAGCGUCUAAGAGGGCGGCUGACAAUCUGCCUCAAACACAAACACAUGACAAAUAUAGUUCUGCAGUGAAGACUUUAGCCCCACGGGGAAAGCUGAGACUCAGGAGCCUGAUGGCAUAAACAAGGCGAAAGGCUUGGUAGCAAAUCAGAAGACUUGUUUUUGGAAGCUGAAAACUUACUUCGGCAACAACAGUCCUCCAUGGCUCCCUGUUUGUGCUCUUGCUGGCCAGGCCUGGGAAGCCCUCUUGGGGCCUCUGAGGCUUGUAACCAGCCCUGCUUAGGAACUUACUGUGUCUCUGUUUGAUUGAGCCUGGGCAUGAGAUAAAACACGAGGUCAUCUGCAAUGGCACUGGUGCUGUGGCUGUAUCAGCAUGGCUCUGAUGUCCCUUCGGGGCAGGCAACAGUUCAGGGAGGACUUACAAGCAAGCUCUGGUAAGUGGUAAGUGGGGCUGCACCCAGGAAGGCACCUCUGCAUGCAUUCCUGCAGAAUGGAUAAGGAGGGCUAAAGCAUCCUUCUCAUUCAGCACAGGGAGGAAGGAAUCAGGUGCCCACUUGUGACUCUGCUUUUGAGCUGGCCCAGGUGGACUGCUCUGAGGAGGGAAGGGGGCAGGAACAGGAAGGGACAGUGAGACAACCUGCUCCGUCCCACUCAGGAUACAGGCCUGUCCAGCCCCAGGUUCCACUGGAGGAGUCUCUCAGGGAAAGUUUCUGUCUCAACCUCCUUCUGCCUCUCCACCCUCCCCUCACCCAGGCUGCUGCAUGUCAUCCCCCUACCCACUGCCUUGAAUCUUGGCUUGAGCCUCGUGUCCUUCCCUGUCUACACCUGGUGCUUUGGUCCAGGCCUUCUAGUUUCAGUUCUGACUGUAUUAACAUCUCACCCCUCUGGAACUGCGGGAGUUUCCACCCCAAGACCAGGCCUACGUGUCCUCAUGUCCAGCUUGGGCCUCAGAGAUACAUGGCGGGGGCCUGUUCUCUUGCCCUGUCUGGGCAGGGAGACUGGACAUCAACAUGUGGCUUCUGUUUUUUCUGCCUGACCUCCCUUCCCUUCUGCACCCCUUCCAAAGUCCUUUCCUUCCCUCCUUCCCUUUCUUCUUCUUCCCCUUCCUUCCGCUUCUUCUUUUCUCCCUCUCUCACCCUCCAUAUCUCCUACACUGUUUGACCACACUGAGGCUUUAGCCCUAGCAAGCAGCCAAGCAGAGUGAGCUCAGAGGCCUUGACUGAGACAGGGCUCCUUCUGGGAGUGGUGGGUGGUUGCCCCUGGGCAGCCUGGGCUGAGAGGUCAGCAGGAUAAGGCCUCACCAUAGAGCCAUGUGGAAUCUCAGGAAUCUGCUGCGGAGUGAGUCUGUCCUGAGGGAAGAGAGCCUGCUCUGGCCUGAAAGCACUGCGUGGGGCUCCUCAGUCUGCACUGCUGUGGUGCACCCCACUCCUAGGUGGGAGGAAACUGUUCAGCCUUCCUUCUCUUCCAUUCCGAUCUCCCACUACCAUCACCACACCAGGGGGAGGGGUCCGAAUUCAGCUCAUCUCAAAGCAAUUUGGAAAGACAGGUGCAGGCUGCCUGUGGUGAGUUUCCAGAAACCAGCUUCCUUCCACUGGCUGUUAGCGUUGGCAUCGAGUGGGCUGCAUAAGCAACAUUUACAGAAUUAAUGGGCUCUGAGUCUCAAGUGAAUACAGCAGAAACAAGAGGGGCCAUGCCACUUUACAUUAUAAGACUCAGAACGUGGAAUUUCAAUCUCUCUUGAUCUGAUCUGUUUACUCACUUGUAAAGUAGGGGAAGUUCUAGAGCAGGACAAACAGGUUAAAUGAGAUGAGGGUUGAAUGCUGAGCAUAGCUAGCAACUGCUCAAUAAAUGUGGCUCCUGGAAUGACAAUUACUAUUAUUGCCUGCUGCCAGGGUAGCAGCGGGCAAUGGCAUCAGUGAAGGGCUGGAACCUGUAAGCUUCAAGCUUUGGUUUUUCUCUGUUCUUACUCUGGUAAAAGUCCCAGGAAGAGGGUAAGGAAAUGAGAGACUUCAGGACUCUGUUCUUUAUGGCCUAGGAAAGUGACACUGGUUCAGAAUGGGCCAUCUUCUUGCCUCUGUUUUUAAAAUCAAAACUAGCCCAGAAGAAGAUUUAGCUCUGGGUCCAAAUCUGGCCUCUGCCUCUAAUUGUGUAACUUUGGGAAAAUUACUUACCUCUCUAACUCUUUAUUUAUCUGUGAAAUUCCUAUCUCAUAGGAAUGUUGUGAGGAUUACAUGAGUUAAUACCUAUGGAGAAGUUAACACAGGGCUUGUGGGGCACAGAGCAUGCACUCAAUAAAUGGUCAUUAUAAUUAUACUUAAUUGCCAUUUUAGGAACUUGAAGUCUCAAGAGAUGACAAAUAGUCAAUUCUCAAAAAAUGAAGAAAAGAAAAACUUGUUUCUUCAUGUUUGCUAACCCUAUCUAUAUCUAUGGUUUUGGCCAAUAAAUUCACUGUGUUUAAAUCCUCAUUGCGCUGAUUUCUGUCUUUUGGAAAAUGACUUCACAGUGUUUACAUCUCUGAACCAUCCUGUCAGAGAUCUUAUUACUCCUAUUUUUUUUUUCUUUUAAGAUGGAGUCUCGCUCUGUCGCCCAGGCUGGAGUGCAGUGGUGUGAUCUCGGCUCACUGAACUUCCCCUCCCCAGUUCAAGCGAUUCUCCUGCCUCAGCCUCCCUAGUAGCUGGGAUUACAGGCCCCCACCACCAUGCCUGGCUAAUUUUUAAAUAUUUUUAGUGGAGAUGGGGUUUCACCAUGUUGGCCAGGAUGGUCUUGAGCUCCUGACCUCAAGGGAUCCACCCGCCUCGGCCUCCCAAAGCACUGGGAUUACAGGUAUAAGCCACCGCGUCCGGCCUACUCCCACUUUGUUUCCAAGGAUAGUCAAGUGAAGGAGUGGGAGUGGAGAAGGAACAAAUAAAUCUGUAACUGCUUGUGAUCAAUUAGUUGUUAAUGUCAAUACCACUGCACUGAGAAGGCUGAGGUUCACAAAGGUGAAGUGAUUUAUCUAAGGUUUUAUGUCUGGUUUGUAGAGAGCCAGGACCCAAAUCCAGACCUUCCCCUACAGACCCUGACCCUUCCUCUGCCUUGUGCCGAUGCCUUGAGGGGACCCUUCCCAAGGUCCCCUGGGCCACACCCUGCUCCCCUGACCCACAGGGCUGCUGAGGUCACCUCUUUCAAAGGGUCUGCUUUGGUUCCACUUUGCCAUUAGAAUAAAGCUUUG
rnacentral:lncRNA from 1 species